GUAGGUGGCAAGCGUUGUCCGGAAUUAUUGGGCGUAAAGCGCGCGCAGGCGGUUCUUUAAGUCUGAUGUGAAAGCCCACGGCUCAACCGUGGAGGGUCAUUGGAAACUGGAGAACUUGAGUACAGAAGAGGAAAGCGGAAUUCCACGUGUAGCGGUGAAAUGCGUAGAGAUGUGGAGGAACACCAGUGGCGAAGGCGGCUUUCUGGUCUGUAACUGACGCUGAGGCGCGAAAGCGUGGGGAGCAAACAGGGAUUAGAUACCCUGGUAGUCCACGCCGUAAACGAUGAGUGCUAAGUGUUAGGGGGUUUCCGCCCCCUUAGUGCUGCAGCUAACGCAUUAAGCACUCCGCCUAGGGAGUACGGCCGCAAGGCUG
rnacentral:rRNA from 1 species